rnacentral:lncRNA from 1 species
CAGUUACUAGUAUUAAGGCGGGCAGUUUUCCCCAUUGAAUUGAUACCCAUUCUUCAUUUCGUGGCAUUAUUUUUAUACUGAGUCGACUAUUCGGUAUUUUUUUUCCUCAUUGUUGAAGAUCUUACGGUGAAUUAUAAUUGUUUAAUCCACUGCAUAUGAACUAUGGUGUAUAGUUGUUUCUUUGGCAAUCAUACAUCAAUGAUUGCAUUGCUUUAAAUAAGAUUUAUUUAUAUCUGUGAGACGAUUUUUUCAUUAUUGCUUAUGAGGAAUCCAUUGUUA